rnacentral:rRNA from 1 species
UACAGAGGGGGCAAGCGUUGUUCGGAAUUACUGGGCGUAAAGGGCUCGUAGGCGGCCAACUAAGUCGGAUGUGAAAUCCCCAAGCUUAACUUGGGAACUGCAUCCGAUACUGGAUGGCUUGAAUCCGGGAGAGGUGAGUGGAACUGCGAGUGUAGAGGUGAAAUUCGUAGAUAUUCGCAAGAACACCAGUGGCGAAGGCGGCUCACUGGCCCGGUACUGACGCUGAGGCGCGAAAGCGUGGGGAGCAAACAGG